rnacentral:sRNA from 1 species
GAGACGGGCGAGGCUGACGCCGAGGAUACGCUCAGGAAGAAGCCUCGCGACUGCUGAUCAGCUUCUUCAGCAGCGGGCGUCCGGCGAGCACUGCGAACACCGGGCCGCCGGCGACGAGGUAGAAAUAGAAGGUCACCGCUCGCCAGAUGACGAUGGCCGCCGCCGCCGUCGACUUGCCGAUCAUGGGGGCCAGCAGGGCCGCCGAGGUCAGCUCGGUGCCGCCGGCGCCGCCGGGGAUCAGCGAGAGCUGUCCGGCGCUGAGCGAGACCAUCUGGAUCAGGAAGGUCCAGGCCCACUGGAUAUCCACUCCCAGGCCGCGCAGGGUCAGAUCGAGCACGCUGAAGCGCAGUAGCCAGUGCGUACUGCUGAGAAGGAAGACCGCCAGCAGGCGUCGUUUCGGCAGGCGCAGGCUGUCGUGCAGGGCAAUGCGGAAAUGCAGGAUCUUGCGGCCCCAGUGCAGGCGCUUGCGCGAUGACACGCCGAGCCGCGCCAGAACCCGCCCGUUGAAGCGGAUCACCUGGUGCAGGUAGCGGAUCAGCAUUACCGCGCCGACGAACAGGCCGACCAGGAAUACCGCGCUGAAGAUCAGGCUCGAUUCCAUGUUCGGGCUCAGCGAAUGGCUGAGGGCAUAGAUCAGGAUCGCGCCGAGGGCGCAGAGGAAGAACGUCAGGUCGGCCAACUGGUCGACCGCGAACACCGCGCUGGUCUGUGCCGGGCGCAGGCCGCGCCGGGCCAGCAGCGCCAUCAGGGUCAACGGCCCGCCGCUGCCGCCCGGAGUGGCGCAGAAAGCGAAUUCGCUGGCCAUGAUGAUGCCGACGCUCUGCAAUUGCCCGAGCUUGCCGGCGCGCCCGGCGAGCAGCAGGCGCAGGCGCAGGCCGUUGAUGAACCAGCAGACCACGAUCAUGCCGAACAUCAGCAGCAGACUGUCCAGCGGGAAGGCGCGCAAGCGCG